UUUGGGUCUGCUAAAUCGGAAUUUUGUAGUUUGUAGUCUAGCAGACCCAAUUUU
rnacentral:sRNA from 1 species